AUACGGAGGGUGCAAGCGUUAAUCGGAAUUACUGGGCGUAAAGCGCGCGUAGGCGGCUUGAUAAGUCGGAUGUGAAAUCCCCGGGCUUAACCUGGGAAUUGCAUUCGAUACUGUCAGGCUAGAGUGUGGUAGAGGGAAGUGGAAUUUCCGGUGUAGCGGUGAAAUGCGUAGAUAUCGGAAAGAACAUCAGUGGCGAAGGCGGCUUCCUGGAUCAACACUGACGCUGAGGUGCGAAAGCGUGGGGAGCAAACAGAAUUAGAAACCCUAGUAGUCC
rnacentral:rRNA from 1 species